rnacentral:rRNA from 1 species
GCGAUUCGCCCUUCGGGGUGCCCAGGCGCGAAAACUUUACAAUGCUGGAAACAGCGAUAAGGGGACCUCGAGUGCCAGGUUACAAAUCUGGCUGUCGUGAUGCCUAAAAAGCAUUGCAUAGCAAGGGCCGGGCAAGACCGGUGCCAGCCGCCGCGGUAACACCGGCGGCUCGAGUGGUAACCGUUAUUAUUGGGUCUAAAGGGUCUGUAGCCGGCCGGAUAAGUCUCUUGGGAAAUCCAGCAGCUCAACUGUUGGGCUUUCAGGAGAUGCUGUCUGGCUCGAGGCCGGGAGAGGUGAGAGGUACUUCAGGGGUAGGGGUGAAAUCUUGUAAUCCUUGAAGGACCACCAGUGGCGAAGGCGUCUCACCAGAACGGACCUGACGGCAAGGGACGAAAGCUAGGGGCACGAACCGGAUUAGAUACCCGGGUAGUCCUAGCCGUAAACGAUACUCGCUAGGUGUCGGCCGCGGUGCGACCGUUGUCGGUGCCGUAGGGAAGCCGUGAAGCGAGCCACCUGGGAAGUACGGCCGCAAGGCUGAAACUUAAAGGAAUUGGCGGGGGAGCAC